GUUGGCUCAGAAGCAGCCACUCAUUCAAAGAGUGCGUAAUAGCUCACUGGUCGAGCGUCUUUGCGCGGAGAAUUUAACGGGGCUAAACCUGACACCGAAGCUUAGGCAGCAUGAUUACAUGCUGGGUAGGGGAGCGUUGUAUACGCGGUGAAACAGUAGCGCAAGCGGCUGUGGAGUGUAUAGAAGUGAGAAUGCCGGAAUGAGUAGCGCGAAUGCAGUGAGAAUCUGCAUGGCCGAAAGCCUCAGGUUUCUGGAGGAAGGUUCGUCCGCUCCAGGUCAGUCGGGAGCUAAGGUGAGGCCUAACGGCGUAGCCGAUGCACAGACGGUAGAGAUUCCGUCACCACCAAAAGAGUUAAACACAGGGACACAUAUGAAGUCUCGGAGCCGGGUGUUGGUUCCGGUAGCGAUCGAGGGAAAUUAGUACCGAAGUCUGAGAUGGAAGAUGGCGAGAAAAGCUGUGUGUAUUUCUGCGGUGCCCGUACCGCAAACCGACACAGGUAGGUAGGAAGAAGAUUCUAAGGCCAACGGGAGAAGGGUUGUUAAGGAACUCGGCAAAUUGACCCCGUAACUUCGGGAGAAGGGGUGCUGCAGCAAUGCAGCCGCAGAGAAUCGGCCCAAGCAACUGUUUACCAAAAACACAGGUUUGUGCUAAAUCGAAAGAUGACGUAUACGAGCUGACGCCUGCCCGGUGCUGGAAGGUUAAGAGGAGAUGUGCAAGCAUUGAAUCGAAGCCCCAGUGAACGGCGGCCGUAACUAUAACGGUCCUAAGGUAGCGAAAUUCCUUGUCAGGUAAGUUCUGACCCGCAUGAAAGGCGUAAUGAUUUGGGCACUGUCUCAACAGCCCGCCCGGCGAAAUUGUAGUACCGGUGAAGAUGCCGGUUACCCGCGACAAGACGGAAAGACCCCAUGGAGCUUUACUGUAGCCUAAUAUUGGGUUUCGAUGUUGCAUGCACAGGAUAGAUGGGACACUAGGAAGCAGGUGCUUUGGCGCUUGUGGAGUGGCCGUUGGGAUACCAUCCUUGCGAUAUUGGAAUUCUAACCUGCGCCUUUGAAUCAAGGCGGGGGACAUUGUUAGGUGGGCAGUUUGACUGGGGCGGUCGCCUCCUAAAGAGUAACGGAGGCGUUCAAAGGUUCGCUCAGCUUGAACGGAAAUCAAGCAAAAGAGUGCAAACGCAGAAGCGAGCCUAACUGCGAGACUGACGGGUCGAGCAGUAACGAAAGUUGGAGUUAGUGAUC
rnacentral:rRNA from 1 species